AGAGUUUGAUCCUGGCUCAGAAUCAACGCUGGCGGCGCGCUUAACACAUGCAAGUCGAGCGAGAAAGGGGAGCAAUCCCUGAGUACAGCGGCGUACGGGUGAGUAACACGUGGGUCAUCUACCUCUUUGUGGGGAAUAACCCUGGGAAACCGGGGCUAAUACCGCAUAAGCCUGGAAAGGGAAAGCAAGCAAUUGCGCAGAGAGAGGAGCCCGCGGCCGAUUAGCUAGUUGGUGAGGUAACGGCUCACCAAGGCGACGAUCGGUAGCCGGCCUGAGAGGGCACACGGCCACACUGGCACUGAAACACGGGCCAGACUCCUACGGGAGGCAGCAGUGGGGAAUCUUGCACAAUGGAGGCAACUCUGAUGCAGCGACGCCGCGUGAGCGAUGAAGCCCCUCGGGGUGUAAAGCUCUUUCGGCAGGAACGAUAAUGACGGUACCUGAAGAAGAAGCUGCGGCUAACUACGUGCCAGCAGCCGCGGUAAUACGUAGGCAGCGAGCGUUGUUCGGAAUUACUGGGCGUAAAGAGUGUGUAGGCGGUGCUCUAAGUUCGGUGUGAAAUCUCCCGGCUUAACUGGGAGGGUGCGCCGGAAACUGGAGUGCUCGAGCGUGGGAGAGGAAAGCGGAAUUCCUGGUGUAGCGGUGAAAUGCGUAGAUAUCAGGAGGAACACCUGUGGUGUAGACGGCUUUCUGGACCAUAGCUGACGCUGAGACACGAAAGCGUGGGUAGCAAACAGGAUUAGAUACCCUGGUAGUCC
rnacentral:rRNA from 1 species